UCUGCUGUAGCUGCCUGAUGGAUUUUAAAGGUGAUACCGUAAUGUCUUUGACAUUACCCACUUCUGGUGGGAUUCAGAUAUCUAUCCGAUCAACAACGGUUAAAUUUGGGAUACCUUUGGGACCCGUCUUGAAACACGGACCAAGGAGUCUAUCUAGUAUGCGAGUAAAUGGGCACAAGAAAACCUAUUUGCAUAAAUAACUUGACUGUUAUGGGAUUACGAGCUGCAUCCUACCAUAUGGUGUGAUGCGUUCCUCCAUCCCGGGGUAUUUUUAUAUAAUGUCUUGUUAGCUCUUUGGGGCUGAUGGGUGCAUAGAAAAUAUACCAUGAGCACACUGGAUACGACCCGAAAGAUGGUGAACUAUGCCUGAUCAGGUUGAAGUCAGGGGAAACCCUGAUGGAGGACCGAAGCAAUUCUGACGUGCAAAUCG
rnacentral:rRNA from 1 species